CUGGAUUUCUGUUUUUGUUUUGGAAAUUUUAGAAGUGUGUUGAAUUGCUAUGAACUGUGCACUAUUCAUGGUGGUGUUUGCUGAUUACAGGUGCCCCAAGUGCGUAGAACUAAAGCUUCGCCGUGAAGGUGCUGCUUUCUGUUCCCAAGAGUGUUUCAAGGCAUCCUGGAGUUCCCAUAAAUCUGUUCACUUGAAUGCAAAAUCUUCUUUAAUUGCAUCUGAAAGUUAUAGUGAACAGAACUUGGGUCUGCCGGGUGACGGCUGGCUCUACUGCUUGAUAGAAGGACAAGCACAGACACCAAAACUUCCA